GCAAAAGAUUUGACACUUAAUAAAUUUUUUUCCUCAGUUUUCGAAAGCAAAACUCAAACACUUAAUGAAAUUUUUGUCCCUCCAAAUCCAAAACCCAGACUUAGCCUUCAUCUCGAUCCCUCCAAAUCCAAAGCUCACCAUCGAAGAAACACUCUCGCUACAGAAACCCUCUCACCCACCACUCACCGUCGCUUCUCUUCGCCCUCCUCCUCGUCGCUGUGCCGCCCUUACCAUCGUCUUCUCGUCGCUGCGCCGCCCUUACCUUCGCCAACCCUGUCGCGCACAACUCUCACCUUCGCCAUUCUUACCGUCGCUGUUGACCGUCGCCACCCAGUAACCACUCACCGUUCACCAUCGUCGCUCAUCACCUUUGCCAUUGUCACCACUGCACAGACCAUCGCUCUUCUUCGCCGUUCUGCACAAAUCAUCGCUGCGCCACCCUCACCAUCGUCAUCUCCGUGCUUCUCAUCAUCGUCAUCUCCGUGUUGAUUAUGCCAAACUCACUAAGCUUCCCAAGAACCUUAUGGCAAAGGUUUCUACUAUGAAGAAUACAGAGCAGAUUUUAGAGCAACUUCCUCGGGUGAUAUCAUCUUUGGAUGCAUAUAUGGAUAAUGGAUUGCAAAAGUGAUAACCCGCUAGCAAGUGCAAGUAAACCUCGUUCAAAGUCAGGAGGGAGCUGACUGAAGCUUAAGAGGGAGCUGCGUUUCACUCACCCAACUGUUCUUCGAGUUUCU